CGCCAGGUCAGACAUGCUGAAUCUUUCCUGGAGCCCACAGAAAAGAGACUUUGGAGGUUUUUAUAUCAGACAUUGAACUUUUAAAGCAAUGGGAUUUUCAAGGAACUCAUGAAGAUAUGGUACUCACACAGGGUCUACCACCAUGCCCUGGCAUCUUUAAAUCACUAUUAGCCUCUUUUGACACAGAAGCACUAACAGGAGGAGUGGUUCUCGGGUCCUAAUUCUCCCUGGGUCCCAGCUGAAUGGAAGAAUGAGUAGGAAUGUGAUACCCUGUUGGGUACCUGGGGAUGACUCUGACAUAAAGACCUCUCUGAUUCCCACUAUGAUUUUAUGAAGACUCUUUCCUGAUAGGCCUUUGAGGAAGUGCAAGUUUUUUCGUGAAAGUAGAAACACAUCAAGUGAAUCAAGGACUG